rnacentral:rRNA from 1 species
UACGAAGGGGGCUAGCGUUGCUCGGAAUCACUGGGCGUAAAGGGUGCGUAGGCGGGUCUUUAAGUCAGGGGUGAAAAUCCUGGAGCUCAACUCCAGAACUGCCUUUGAUACUGAGGAGCUUGAGUCCGGGAGAGGUGAGUGGAACUGCGAGUGUAGAGGUGAAAUUCGUAGAUAUUCGCAAGAACACCAGUGGCGAAGGCGGAGCUCACUGGCCCGAGUAC